GAUGAACGCUAGCGGCAGGCUUAAUACAUGCAAGUCGAGGGGCAGCACAUGAGUAGCAAUACGAUGGUGGCGACCGGCGCACGGGUGCGUAACGCGUAUGCAAUCUACCUUUAACAGAGGGAUAGCCCCGAGAAAUCGGGAUUAAUACCUCAUAAAAUUUUCACAUGGCAUCAUGAGAGAAUCAAAGCUGAGGCGGUUAAAGAUGAGCAUGCGUGACAUUAGCUAGUUGGAGAGGUAACGGCUCACCAAGGCGACGAUGUCUAGGGGUUCUGAGAGGAUGAUCCCCCCACACUGGUACUGAGACACGGACCAGACUCCUACGGGAGGCAGCAGUAAGGAAUAUUGGUCAAUGGGCGGGAGCCUGAACCAGCCAUGCCGCGUGCAGGAAGACGGCCUUAUGGGGUUGUAAACUGCUUUUGUCGGGGAAUAAACCUGUCUACGAGUAGAUAGCUGAAGGUACCCGAAGAAUAAGCAUCGGCUAACU
rnacentral:rRNA from 1 species